GCCUGGAUGAACCCCAGGAAAACAUCACAGAAAGCAGAGGAAGCCUAUCUCUGAGAGCCUAUCUCCACACCUCCUUAUGCUUCUGUCUUACCCCUGCUCUAGAUCUCCUGUAAGAAGUUCAUUGUGAUGGUGUGAGUUCCUUGGGCCUCCCUCCUUGGGUCUCCUACAGGAGCUAUAGACAGAGGUUCCUGUCCAUGGGAGUGAGUUCUAUUGACAUAACUCCUAUGGAAAGCAAAGGUGCCAGAGAGAGUGAUUGCUGUAUUCCUAAUAAAACAAUUUUGAAUUCUGGACUUCUGCUGACUUUCAAAAUGACAAAGUAUCACUCUGGAAUUAUCCUGGAAGAUGUUGACCUUCAUAACCAUUGUCUUCUUUGCACGCACAUCUCUUUCUCUUUCUGGAAUACCCAUUUUAACACUUGGACCUUAAGCAAACUGAAGAUCUAAAAAUCAAUUGUUGUUUUUUAAGGUAAAACACAG